AGUUGUAUAAUACAGUUUGCCGUUUAUACUUUGCAGCCAUUCAUUUUUAGUGUGAAGUUUAAUGUCUUUCAUUUUUAUCAGUUCUUUUUUUCUUAUGGUUAAGCCAUGUGAAAAUGAAUUACAGCAUUACAGUUUCAAUAGUCAUGGGCAUUCCCACAGUGAAGAGAGAAGUUAAAUCUUACCUCAUAGAAACUCUUCAUUCCCUUAUUGAUAACCUGUAUCCUGAAGAGAAGUUGGACUGUGUUAUAGUAGUCUUCAUAGGAGAGACAGAUAUUGAUUAUGUACAUGGUGUUGUAGCCAACCUGGAGAAAGAGUUUUCUAAAGAAAUCAGUUCUGGCUUGGUGGAAGUCAUAUCACCCCCUGAAAGCUAUUAUCCUGAUUUGACAAACCUAAAGGAGACAUUUGGAGACUCCAAAGAAAGAGUAAGAUGGAGAACAAAGCAAAACCUAGAUUACUGUUUUCUAAUGAUGUAUGCUCAAGAAAAGGGCAUAUAUUACAUUCAGCUUGAAGAUGAUAUUAUUGUCAAACAAAAUUAUUUUAAUACCAUAAAAAAUUUUGCACUUCAACUUUCUUCUGAGGAAUGGAUGAUU
rnacentral:sRNA from 1 species